CCAACGGCAGAUAGUGCCUACAAUGUUUCCUUGUGUCGCCGUCAGUCAUUCAUGUUACUCCAUGAAUGUAGAAUCGUAGCUCAGUACGUGUAAAUAAUUUCAUAUUUUCCGCAAGACAAUUCUAUAAUACAAAUGUAUACAGGAGUGGGUCAAGCGACGGGCCCGCGCCGUGUCACCAGUGCGUAGGAGCACCGCUGCGUCAUCCACGUGCAUCUCAAAAACCUUUCCACAAAAACUCACGCUAACCGACUAGCGAGGCAAAAGGCGACGAAGCUUUUAAACUUUAGGAACUUUUUCCCGUCGUAUCGCAUUCGUCAAGUGACAAGUACCUACACAAAGUGUCUAAUUAGUAUUCAUCUGGGCGCGUGUAGACCUCUUCGCGGUGGGGACGGGUUAUUAGCCGGCGCCGCCUCCGCGCCCAGGCAUAUUGUUCCGAGUUCUGCCCACCGAGCGCCGUACGCUCGCCCGACCAACGAUAAUUCAUAUUGUCAAUAUUUGUACUGCAACAACGAACCGACGAUUUCACCAGAGGAAGCCGAGCCGGUGGCUGGGAAGGCAAGAAGUCGGCAUAGCUGUUUGAAAAUGAUAUACGGCUGUGUCACUUCGAGCCAGCUCAAUCCACCGGCUUUCUGCAUAAAGAAGAUUUGCGGACGCUGCCGUAACGUGAAAAUUCGGAUCGCUCCCGUAGCGGCGCGACUCCGGCCGGGAGAGGGCGCAUUGACAGCUGUCACUGGGCACUAUUUCGCUUUCUUCGCGGCCGGACGUGGGAGGAAAUCGUUUAUUUUUAUCACACACGACGAUGUUCCCGUAGAGUGCGACCGGCUGUGUACGUGCGUGACGAAACGAUCGAAAACAAGACGACAAAAUGCCGAACGAGGAGGUGUUGGGUCCGCGGAAGACGAUGUUCGUACUAGUGAUUGUUGUGGGAUGUUUCGCGGUGCUGUGGCCCAGGAUUCUGUCGCCGCUGAUCUUGGGCCACUCGCGGGACCAGCUCAAACCGAACGCGUUCGACCGGGAGGCAGGAUGCUGCGAAGUGAUGUUCGAGACAGAACUGGCGGUAUUGGAACUGAUCAACGAGGUAUGUAGUUCAGCAGUCCACGUGGACGGAAAGCUCUCUCCAUACGCCGCGGCGGAGUGUCGCAAAGCCGUCAACGAGACCUGCGGAGUAGAUAUAGCGGCAUUCCUCAAACGAAAUGAGAACAUCGGCAAGACCUCCAAGAAACUAGUCGAGACUAUGAAGAACAGCAACUCCUCGUGCCUUAAGGAGCAUUUUGGCGUGCCCGUCUGGAGUCUCGCUCCUCACCAGGCGUUCAACUCAUGGACCCUACAAGACACUGUAAAACAAGAGCGUCCUCUGAACCGCGGCGCAGGGCCGCAUCCAGCACUGCGAGAGCGGGGCCGCGCGAUUCCUCAGGGCGUGGCCCCCGCGAGACCCGCGACACCGAUGCCGCCCCACGUUCGGGUACGAUCCUCCCCGCUAUCAGUGUACUAUGAGCUGGACAUCAAGCCACCACCGAUCCCGGGCAUGCGGCCCCCGCUCGGCUCGCCCGGGGGUCCGGUGCCCACGCCCAAGUCGUCCAUGGGGUUCGUCAUGCCGAUCUACACGAUAUGCAUCAUAGUGUUCUUCGUGUACACACUUAGCAAGAUCCUGUUCAAGCGCACCGCGUCCCCCUACGAGCCUGUUAGUCCCGACCCCCACUUCAGGAGCAGGGUGUUCCGCGACGACUCCAGGACGUCGCCCGACAAGCUCGGGGAUGUUGAACUGGAGGCGCUGCGAGCGCGGCUUGCGGAGACUGAGCGCGCCAUGCAAAGGAUCGUCGGCCAACUGGCUCAGCGCGACGCGGAGGCCCAGGAUGAGCAGGCUCGCCCGUACACGAACGGUACAAUACUUCACAACACCGGCCCGGUGCAUAUCGUCGCCAGCGAAUACCAGGAAGUAUCCAAGGAAAAGACUCCUGAACCUCAGAGGGAAGUGCCAGAACCUUCACCUGAAGUGAAGGAACCUGCCCCUGAACCUGAAAAGCCUCUGUCAAAAGAAUCUUUAGAGACGAAAGAGUCUGAGGAAUUAGAGGCUGAAAAACAAGAAGAAUUGGUUCAAGAAAUACCUGCAACACAAUCUGAAGAAGCAGAGACGGACGAUGUUAAAGAAGAGAAGGGUCCAGAAGAAAAUGACUUAAAACUCGUUGCUGACGAUGAAGUGGACGAAAAUGGUGGCGAAGCUAAAUUCGAUAAAGAAGAAUCGGGUUCAGAGCCAGAGUUAAUAGAAAUUAAUAAUAAAGAGGAUGAACUGAUUAAAUUAACAAACGAUGACGUAGAAAGCGAUGACUACGUCAAAGUGGUACAGGAUUUCUUGAACGAGGAAGCUAAAAUAGACGUGAAAGAAGAGAAACAAUCGACUCCGGAUCUCCUGGAAGUAGCUAUUAAAGAGGACUCGCCUGAUAAACCUGAGGAUGACCAAGAAAAUGCUAGUGUAAAGAUGGUGGUGAGCGGUAAAAUGACUUUGUCACUCAUACAGGACGCACCGAGAGACACUCCUGAGAAGGAUCCAGAAUCAACAGUGGAUGAUUUCACAACAGCCAGUGCAAUCACUCAACCCGCCGCUGAUAAACAAGUUGAAGAAGAGUCCGACGAAGAAAUAGAGAUCGAAGAAGAAAUAGAAGUGGAAGAGAUCGAGGAAGAGGAAGAAGUUGAGGAGAUUGAGGAAGACGAAGAGAACGAACCGGUGGAGGCGAAGAAACCAGAAGCAAAGGAACCAGUCAAAGUGCAAGAAGUAAAGGAAGCUGUUAAAGUACAGGAAGAAGUAAAACAAGCAGAAGAAGAUUCCGAAGAGGAGGUAGAAGUAAAUGAAGAUGAGGAACCAAUACAAGAUUCGAAAUUUGAACCGGUUAAAGAACUAGAUGCCGAUAAAGAAGAAGAAUAUUCUGAGGAAGAAAUUGAGGAAAAUGAGGAACCAGUGAAAGAGUCAGUUAAGGUAAAGGAACCGGUGAAAUUAAAAGAGCCAGUUAAAGGAAAACCAUCUGUAGAACAUUCAGAAGAUGAUAAGGAACAGAAGAAAGCGAAAGGAGAUAAAGAAUGAACUGAUAGGAAUUAACUUGUAGUGAGAGAAUGUUUGGUGGUUCUGUAAAGAAAAAUAUUAAACAAGUAAAAUGGAUUCAAAUAAAAAUACCUACAUUAUUUGGCCCUUUAAAUGGAAUCCAAAGAAGGAAUUAGGAAGGCAUAAUUUUUGAGCACCACCGAAAAUUUUUCACGUUUGAAGAAAAAAUACAUCAGGCAAAAACAACAUUAGUAUAUUUCAUACGGAACCACUAAACAGUUAUUUUAUCUUUAAAUAUAAUUUUAAAAAUGUUUAUUUUUGCAAGUUAUAUUUUCGUAUGCUUUCGCUCGUCACGUUAUUUUUUUACAAUUAUAUUUUUACCUUCGAUUGUCGUUUAUUUAAGAUGUAUAUUUCGUGCAGAUGUCGCCGUUCGCUUGUAGUAUAAGAUUUUAAGUGUGUUUAUGGACGUGGCAGUUUCUGGGGCAUAAUUUAUCAAUAUAAAAAAAAGACACUAAAAUUUUAGGCCUUGACAAAUCUAGUCAUUUUAAAAUUACUAUACUAAAAAGAUUUACAAUUACUCAGGUUUGUCUAUAAUCUUCAAUGACAACAAAAAUUAGCAUUGUAUGUUCAUCGAUCGAAAAUAACCAAUCAAAAUAAGUAAUUAGUAUGCCAUCAUUUAAUUCCAAUUUUUUCUUACAGUGAUUUGAUAAUCUAUUAAUUUCGAUCGAGAGAAUGUAAGAUGAUGCCUCAGUAUGCCGUAAGAGUGUCCAUGAACAUGGAACUACGAAUUUAGCAUUGCUCUCAGUGUUCGAUAUUUUUGUGCCAAAUUUACUUCGAGCUUUUUAAUUUUGUCAUAGUUUUACAUUGACCCCACACAUUUUGUAUUACAUUGACACCCCAUUGGCAAGUUUCCGGUUUAAACUACGAUAUUUAAAGAACCGGAAUGAGGUAGCCAGAAAAAUUACUGGAUAUUAUGAGCUUCACAGUUAAUGCGUCAUGGUGAAGAACACAAUGCUUUACCAUGUACUUGUAAUUUAAAGUUUUGAAAGAUUGUUUUUCGAAAACGUUGCUCGUCUCAUACUGUUCAAUUACAUAUUUUUACUGCUUAAUAUAUAUAUUUCAAUGGGGUGAUAUAACUAACUAUGUAUCAAUGUAUCAUUUAUAGGUUAGCGGUGAUGGACACGGCAGAGAAAAAAUCGAUUAAAUAUUGAAACUAUGACUCAUGAUCAUUCGCAUAUGGUUUCUAGUUACGUAAGUGUAAUUUCAAGCGAAGCGAAUUUUUUUUAUGAUAAUUUUAACCUUAUAGGAGACAUAAUUAGAUGUGGUUUCCAUUAUCUUCGAUUAGUCUAAUUGCCGGCACUCCGUCAGCGCUGAACCUUUAAAUUCACAGUCGCUGCUGGUCAUGGUUGAUGACGUCAUUUGUUGUUUCUUAGGCUGUCUUGCCAAAAUAUUUGUGGAUUAGUAUAGACAAUUUUUUUACCCUUAGCAAAUCUAAUUUGUGGCAAAUCUUCCUUCCAAAUGUUUAGCCAAAUUUUUACAAUGUUUUCCUAUUAUACACUAAUGUAUGAAUUAUAGGUAAUAAUAUAAAUUAAUAUUGUAUGAUCGCUUGCAAAAAAUAUUGUAUUAUAAUUAACAUUUUUUUUUUGAUUCUGUUAUGUAAAAUUUGUUAGAAUAUAAGAACCAGUUAUGGACUUGCCGACGUAUAAUUAUCAAAAAAAAAAGGUUGGAUUGAUCCUACAAUUUUUUACAGCAAUUUUUCUUGCAAGCGAUUUUUUAUUAGUAUCAUGCCCCAACCUCUACAUGUGUUAAUGUAUUGGGUGUGUUAGAAUAGACGGUAAUUUUGCACUGGCGUGUAGUUUUUAUGCAUUUAAGUUUAUAUCUUUGUGAUUUGUUAAGAAAAACAUUAUUUAUUUUGUUAUAUUUUUUUGCGGAAUGAACCCUUUAUGUGCGGAAUUUUUCGUCAAUAUUUUAUCAUACCUCAUUGUAUGACGGUUAGGUCUAUGGGGUAACGUGAUACAUCGCAUAAUAAGGGUGAAAAUAUUUAUUUUUGAAUGUUAACUAAUUUAUAUUAUUGAUUGUAAAUUUUUGUUUACUGUGGAAAUGUUUUUAGACGUUUUAUAAUCGAGUGUAACUUAUUAAUACAUGGUAUUCAGCAUUCCUUGUCUUUCUGAAUGUGUAGUAGAUCCAGAUCAGAUUGUCUAUUUAAAUGUAAACAUACACAUUUCCGAUAUGUAUUGCUUGUUUUUAGUUGUAAUAAAAUAACAGUAAAAAUGUUUUUUCUUUGUGCAAGUCUAGUUCCCAGUUAUGGACAA
rnacentral:miRNA from 1 species